UACGGGGGGGGCAAGCGUUGUUCGGAUUUACUGGGCGUAAAGAGCGCGCAGGCGGUCGAAUAAGUCGAAUGUGAAAGCCCCCGGCUUAACUGGGGAGGGUCAUUCGAUACUGCUCGACUUGAAGGCAGGAGAGGGUAGUGGAAUUCCCGGUGUAGUGGUGAAAUGCGUAGAUAUCGGGAGGAACACCAGUGGCGAAGGCGGCUCACUGGCCCGGUACUGACGCUGAGGCGCGAAAGCGUGGGGAGCAAACAGG
rnacentral:rRNA from 1 species